rnacentral:rRNA from 1 species
UGAACGCUGGCGGCGUGCCUAAUACAUGCAAGUCGAGCGAACAGACGAGGAGCUUGCUCCUCUGACGUUAGCGGCGGACGGGUGAGUAACACGUGGAUAACCUACCUAUAAGACUGGGAUAACUUCGGGAAACCGGAGCUAAUACCGGAUAAUAUAUUGAACCGCAUGGUUCCAUAGUGAAAGACGGUUUUGCUGUCACUUAUAGAUGGAUCCGCGCCGCAUUAGCUAGUUGGUAAGGUAACGGCUUACCAAGGCAACGAUGCGUAGCCGACCUGAGAGGGUGAUCGGCCACACUGGAACUGAGACACGGUCCAGACUCCUACGGGAGGCAGCAGUAGGGAAUCUUCCGCAAUGGGCGAAAGCCUGACGGAGCAACGCCGCGUGAGUGAUGAAGGUCUUCGGAUCGUAAAACUCUGUUAUUAGGGAAGAACAAAUGUGUAAGUAACUAUGCACGUCUUGACGGUACCUAAUCAGAAAGCCACGGCUAACUACGUG